rnacentral:snRNA from 1 species
AGCUUUGUGCAGUGGCAGUAUCAUAGCCAAUGAGGUUUAUCUGAGGUGUGAUUAUUGCUAAUUGAAAACUUUUCACCCCCUCUUACAUAGAAUAUUCUUUUCCUAUCUUUGAUU